AGACAAACAGAACACGGGAUUAUUUUUAAACUUGCUUCUGGAUGGGUUUUCCCACAGUCUGAAAGUUAAAAAAAACAACAGCAGCAAAAAAAGACGGAUUUACCAUGAACUACUGUGUGUGACCAUUUUGAUUUAAAACCAUUGUGUUGCUCUAUCAGCUUUUCCUUAUUUGCCUGAGGCUUUUAAAUGGAUUUCAACAUUGUGGAAGAGUAUAAAUACUGUAUAACUUCUAUAACCAAUAGUCGUUGCUACUAGAAGUGCAAUUUUGCCUUUCCUCAUUUUCUGUCAUGUACAAUAUUUGGAAAAAAGUGCUGGGCCCCCUACACAUUAGACCUACAGGAGCUGCUCAGCCAUGCCAAAAAUUAUCCUGGCUUAUCAUUUUUGUACUGAUGUUAAUGCCAGAGGUGGUUUGGGGCUUUUAUUAUUAUUGUUAUUGAGUCAGCAGAGCUUUGGCAACUUUUACACCGCAUGCACCUCAGCACUCUGCAUCUUUAUUUGGACUGAGAUUUGGUGGUUGAGUUGCUGUGGUGCCUAAAUGCUUCCACUAUACAAAAAUACCACUUACAGCUGAUCGCAGAAGAUGAAUGAACAAGAAAUAUUUCUUCCCCCAUAUUUGGACAAGUUUUUUGUCACAGCAGCUGAAAUGAUGAUGUAAUAAUAAUAACAACACUAUAUCUAGGAGGAAAGAAACUUGUUGCAGCGGUGGGGGCAUCCUAUUACAGUGCCACGCUCUGAUUCGUUGGAGCACUGUUGGUAGAGACUAACGGUCAUAUGUGACGAUCUCCUCUCCAUCAUCGUCCUCGGUGGCUUUGUUGCUGAUCAUCACGAAGUCCCUGUGAUGGCAGUUGGCACAGCCCAGGUAGUUCAUCAAGUAGGAGCCGUUCUCCAGACAA